rnacentral:rRNA from 1 species
AUUGAACGCUGGCGGCAUGCCUAACACAUGCAAGUCGAACGGCAGCGGGUCGUAGCAAUACGAUGCCGGCGAGUGGCGGACGGGUGAGGAAUACAUAGGAAUCUACCUCAACGUGGGGGAUAACGUAGGGAAACUUACGCUAAUACCGCAUACGACCGAGAGGGGAAAGCGGCGGACCGCAAGGCGUCGCGCGGUGAGAUGAGCCUAUGGCCGAUUAGCUAGUUGGCGGGGUAAUGGCCCACCAAGGCGACGAUCGGUAGCUGGUCUGAGAGGAUGAUCAGCCACACUGGAACUGAGACACGGUCCAGGCUCCUACGGGAGGCAGCAGUGGGGAAUAUUGGACAAUGGGCGCAAGCCUGAUCCAGCAAUGCCGCGUGGGUGAAGAAGGCCUUCGGGUUGUAAAGCCCUUUUGUACGGGAAGAAAUCCUGUCGGUUAAUACCCGGCGGGGAUGACGGUACCGUAAGAAUAAGCACCGGCUAACUUCGUGCCAGCCGCCGCCGUAAGAC